AAAGAAAAACAAUGACCACAGCAAGAAGAAACAAAGAAAACAGUUUGAAGAAUUGAAGAAUAAAUCAAUUGUGUUGUUCAGAUCAACCACCAUUGGAAAGUUUAAAGCUGGAAUUAUAGUUCUCUGCUGAUACACACAAACAUCUCUGAAGGGUGUAAUGCAGAGGGCUGCAGAGGAGUUGAUGCGUACACAGAUGCAGACUUGAUGCAGACCUGAGCAUCAAUCAUAUUGUUUAGUGCCUGUUGCUGUGCGGAUGGAAGUCCUGAACACAUCCACGUCUCCUCAAAAAACAUAUCCUCCCUGUGGCUUUUACUCGCCGCUCAGUUUCAACGCUUCCUGUCUCCCCCCUCUAACCCGCCUGUAAUUACCAUCGUAACCUAUGGAUCUACAACCCCCUCUCCAUUCACAAAACCGCAGGCUGGUGAAAAGCACAUGACCAUGAUGAGUGCUCACCACUCACCCCUUCUAAUCCUGCGGAGGAGAAAGAGGAGAGGCUGCCUCAAGGCCAAGCCCUGCUGCUAUGACCGAACGCUGUGUGACAUUCUCAGCAGCAUCCCCUCCGGCUCCGCAUGACAACGACAGCGGUCACUUUUUUUUUCUUCUCUUCUUUCCCACU